rnacentral:tRNA from 1 species
UUAAUAGAAGCCAAAUAGAGGCUAUUCACUGUUAAUGAAUAAACUGAUUACAUUUAAUCCUAUUAAG